GUGGCCGGCCAGGCAGUCGCUCCGUCCGUUCGCGGACGGGGAGGAAAGUCCGAACACUCCAGGGCAAGGCGCCUCAGGUCAACUGAGGGUCCUGCAGGCGAUAUCCUGCAGGAACGGACAGUAUCACAGAAAACACACAUCCCUUCGUUCCGACUACGUCGGCGCGGAGAGAGAAAGGUGAAAAGGUGGUGUAAGAGACCACCGCUCCGACAGAGAUGCCGGAGGCACGAGAAACCCCGCCUGGUGCAAGACCAAGCAAAUCCCGCUCCCACUCACGUGGGGAAGAGCUGCCCGUUCAACCCUCUCACGAGGAACGGGAUGGGUAGGUCGCUCAGAGAAAUGACUGCCUCGUUCUGUUCCGGCUUGCUGGGACAGGGCCAGACAGAAUUCGGCUUAUCGGCCGGCCACUCCC
rnacentral:RNase_P_RNA from 1 species